rnacentral:RNase_P_RNA from 1 species
GGGGCAGAUCGGGCAGUCGCGGUGUUUUACAACACCGAGGAAGGUCCGGACUCCACAGAGCGGGAUAACGGCUAACGGCCGUCCAACCUGCCGUAACGCCUUGGCGUGCGGCAGGUUGAGGAACAGGGCCACAGAGACGAGACUGCGGCGCGGGCAUGCCUGGCAUGCACUGACACGGCUACUUCCGUGCGGCGCGCCUUAUUGCAAGGCGCAGCGCAGCAGGGUGAAACGCGGUAACCUCUAUCCGGAGCAACACCAAAUAGGCAUGCGCCUGGCCCUCGGGCCAAAAGGGCGGCUCGUCCGAGCAUGCGGGUAGGUGGCUAGAAUACGGCAGCAAUGCCGUAUCCAGAGGAAUGAUUGCCCGCCAAGUUUGCUUGGUGUACAGAAUCCGGCCUAUAGAUCUGUCUCGCUU